rnacentral:rRNA from 1 species
CAGAACGAACGCUGGCGGCGCGUUUAAGCAUGCAAGUCGAGCGGCAAGGGCCUUCGGGCCCCUAGAGCGGCGGACGGGUGAGUAACACGUGGACAAUCUGCCCCCCGGCCCGGGAUAGCCCAGGGAAACCUGGAUUAAUACCGGAUGAGACGGGACCCGCGAUGGCGGGAUCCGGGAAAGGCGCUGCGGCGCCGCCGGGGGAUGAGUCUGCGUCCCAUUAGCUGGACGGCGGGGUAACGGCCCACCGUGGCGACGAUGGGUAGCCGGCCUGAGAGGGUGGACGGCCACAUCGGAACUGAGACACGGUCCAGACUCCUACGGGAGGCAGCAGCUAAGAAUCUUCCGCAAUGGGCGAAAGCCUGACGGAGCCGACGCCGCGUGAACGAAGAAGGCCGUGAGGUUGUAAAGUUCUUUUCGGGAGGGGGAACAACCGUGGCAGGGAAUGGCCGCGGGAUGACGUGAAUCCCGGAAUAAGCCCCGGCUAACUACGUGCCAGCCGCCGC